AUCGCUUCUCGGCCUAUCGGCUAAGAUCAAGUGUAGUACCUGUUCUUAUCAGUUUUAUAUCUGAUAUGUCCUCUAUUUGAGGGCUUUAUAUUAAAUGGAUUUUUGGGACUGGGAGCUGGAUUAGGGGCUUGCUCCGUCCACUCCACGCAUCGGCCUGGUAUUGCAGAGCCUCCAGGAACAACGGUGCACCUCCC